CGUGGCUGCAUUUUCCUCUAAAUCAAUAAUGUUAUUGACCAAAGUACUUUUCCUGUGUUGCUUCUUUAGGACAUGUGAUAACUUUGCACAAAUUUCAUCUUUCUGUACUUUGAAAUUUGGUUUUGAAGUUUUACCAACAGUGCCAUCCUUUAAUGGGACAUCUCCAUUUGAUGUAGAUACCUUUUCCAGAAAAUCGCUGCUAGAAUCAGUCAAUGAAUGUGUUGAUAUAAUUACUCCUCUGUCACACCCCCAUUCUGGACCACUUCUUGAAGUACUAUUUGGUGCUGUAUAUGAAGAGUUUUCUUUUCCAGACUUUUCUGUGCUUAUUUUAACUUGCUCUGGAGCACUUUCAGAAAGAAGAGCCUCACUUUUCUGCUUCACGCCCAGCUCGGCCGGCAGAGGCUCUUCUUCAUUCAAGUC
rnacentral:lncRNA from 1 species